rnacentral:misc_RNA from 1 species
GACAUUGUAGGAGGCCAGGGAUUUAAAGGUAAAGAAUUAAUGCCUAAUAGUUGCUGUUGCUGGUGGUUGUGAUGCUGCUGCUGCUGUUGCUCUUGCUGCUGUUUUUGCUUGAUAACUUGUUGGGCAAUUGCCAUUAGAUUUCCACUGUCAGCGCACAUAUAUGCCAUUCUCCAGCCAAAUCUCGCCGGAAAGUUAACUGCAGUCACAUCAGGCCCAAAAGAUAAACAAUAUUGGUGACUUACAGAGUGAGGAUUUGAAGUACUGAAAUGGUACAGAGUUUAAAGAGCAGGAGAGUACAUACGCUGCUG